CACGUGAGGGGCAAGCGUUGUCCGGAUUUAUUGGGCGUAAAGAGCUCGUAGGUGGUUCGGUAAGUCGGGUGUUAAAACCCCCAGGCUCAACCUGGGACGCCACUCGAUACUGCUGUGACUAGAGUCCGGUGAGGGGAGCGGUGGAAUUCCUGGUGUAGCGGUGAAAUGCGCAGAUAUCAGGAGGAACACCAGCGGCGAAGGCGGCGCUCUGGGCCGGUACUGACACUGAGGAGCGAAAGCGUGGGUAGCAAACAGG
rnacentral:rRNA from 1 species